rnacentral:antisense_RNA from 2 species
UGCAAUGGCGGCUGUGUGUGGGAGACCUUCGGGUCUGCCGGUUCCUGCAUCUCCGGUUUCUCAGCCUGCGCACAGCUGCCACCCAU